GCGGUUGUGGUGUAGCCUGGCUAGCACAUGAGACUGUGGAUCUCAUAGCCCGAGUUCAAAUCUCGGCAACCGCC
rnacentral:tRNA from 1 species